rnacentral:rRNA from 1 species
GACGAACGCUGGCGGCGUGCUUAACACAUGCAAGUCGAACGGAAAGGCCCUGCUUUUGUGGGGUGCUCGAGUGGCGAACGGGUGAGUAACACGUGAGUAACCUGCCCUUGACUUUGGGAUAACUUCAGGAAACUGGGGCUAAUACCGGAUAGGAGCUCCUGCUGCAUGGUGGGGGUUGGAAAGUUCCGGCGGUUGGGGAUGGACUCGCGGCUUAUCAGCUUGUUGGUGGGGUAGUGGCUUACCAAGGCUUUGACGGGUAGCCGGCCUGGGAGGGUGACCGGCCACAUUGGGACUGAGAUACGGCCCAGACUCCUACGGGAGGCAGCAGUGGGGAAUAUUGCACAAUGGGCGGAAGCCUGAUGCAGCAACGCCGCGUGCGGGAUGACGGCCUUCGGGUUGUAAACCGCUUUCGCCUGUGACGAAGCGUGAGUGACGGUAAUGGGUAAAGAAGCACCGGCUAACUACGUG